GACACGCUGGCGGCGUGCUUAACACAUGCAAGUCGAACGGGGCGAAGUGAUAGCUUGCUAUUAUGGAGCCUAGUGGCAAACGGGUGAGUAACGCGUAGGCAACCUGCCCUUCAGAUGGGGACAACACCUCGAGAGGGGUGCUAAUACCGAAUGACGUUUCCUGGUCGCAUGACCUGGAAACCAAAGGCCGGGCAACCGGUCACUGAAGGAUGGGCCUGCGUCUGAUUAGCUAGUUGGUGGGGUAACGGCCCACCAAGGCGACGAUCAGUAGGGGUUCUGAGAGGAAGGUCCCCCACAUUGGAACUGAGACACGGUCCAAACUCCUACGGGAGGCAGCAGUGGGGAAUAUUGGGCAAUGGGCGAAAGCCUGACCCAGCAACGCCGCGUGAAGGAAGAAGGUCUUCGGAUUGUAAACUUCUGUCUUAUGGGAAGAACACAGACGGUACCAUAGGAGGAAGCCACGGCUAACUACGUG
rnacentral:rRNA from 1 species